CGCAUCUGUGCAUGCAGCAUAUCAAUAAGCGGAGGAAAAGAAACUAACAAGGAUUCCCUCAGUAACGGCGAGUGAAGCGGGAAGAGCUCAAAUUUGAAAUCUUGAAAGGUCACCUUUCACGAAUUGUAGUUUAAAGAAGUGUUUUCUGUUACGAUCGUAAUAUGAGUUCUUUGGAAUAGGACAUCACAGAGGGUGAGAAUCCCGUCUAUGAUUGCGAUUUGUAGCUUUGUGAUACACUUUCAAAGAGUCGGGUUGUUUGGGAAUGCAGCCCAAAACGGGAGGUAAAUUUCUUCUAAGGCUAAAUAUUGGCGAGAGACCGAUAGCGAACAAGUACCGUGAGGGAAAGAUGAAAAGAACUUUGAAAAGAGAGUUAAACAGUACGUGAAAUUGUCAAAAGGGAAGCGUUUAACACCAGUGUUGUUUUCUGAAAAUCAACCUCUGUUAGCUUUAUGCAUGUUUGUUUAGACCUAAUCAGCUAUCUUGCAUGUUCUAUUGUUUGCAGUGGUGCACUUUUCAGUUUACAGGUCAACAUCAGUUUUUUUUACCGUAAAAAAGUUAAAGAAAGGUAGCUCAUGGCUCCGGUCGUGAGUGUUAUAGUCUUUUUUCCUAUGCGGUAGGAGAGACUGAGGUCUGCAGUGUAGGCUAUUUGGCUAGAUACUCAGGUGCUAUGUGAUACCAUUUCAUAAACAACUUGUUGAUUAUGUUUUGUCUAUUGCAUACUCGCUUGUACUAUCAUACCUACGCUUAGGAUGUUGAAGUCAUCGUAUCGCGC
rnacentral:rRNA from 1 species